GCCUCCGUGGCCUAAUGGAUAAGGCAUCGGUUUUCUAAACCGGGGAUUGUGGGUUCGAGUCCCACCGGAGGUG
rnacentral:tRNA from 1 species